AGCGAACGCUGGCGGCAGGCCUAACACAUGCAAGUCGAACGAACUCUUCGGAGUUAGUGGCGGACGGGUGAGUAACACGUGGGAACGUGCCUUUAGGUUCGGAAUAACUCAGGGAAACUUGUGCUAAUACCGAAUGUGCCCUUCGGGGGGAAAGAUUUAUCGCCUUUAGAGCGGCCCGCGUCUGAUUAGCUAGUUGGUGAGGUAAAGGCUCACCAAGGCGACGAUCAGUAGCUGGUCUGAGAGGAUGAUCAGCCACAUUGGGACUGAGACACGGCCCAAACUCCUACGGGAGGCAGCAGUGGGGAAUCUUGCGCAAUGGGCGAAAGCCUGACGCAGCCAUGCCGCGUGAAUGAUGAAGGUCUUAGGAUUGUAAAAUUCUUUCACCGGGGACGAUAAUGACGGUACCCGGAGAAGAAGCCCCGGCUAACUUCGUG
rnacentral:rRNA from 1 species